rnacentral:rRNA from 1 species
UGAGUACGAGCUGCUACGGCAGCGAAGUGGGUGACGUCAAGCUUCCAAGAAAAGCCCUAUACCCGUUAAGGCAUGACGGCCUGUACCCGAAACCGACACAGGUGGGGUGGUAGAGAAUACCGAGGGGCGCGAGGUAACUCUCUCUAAGGAACUCGGCAAAAUGGCCCCGUAACUUCGGGAGAAGGGGUGCCACCGCAAGGUGGUCGCAGUGAAGAGGCCCAGGCGACUGUUUACAAAAAACACAGGUCUCCGCUAAGUCGCAAGACGAUGUAUGGGGGCUGACGCCUGCCCAGUGCCGGAAGGUUAAGGAAGCUGGUCAGCGUAAGCGAAGCUGGCGACUGAAGCCCCGGUGAACGGCGGCCGUAACUAUAACGGUCCUAAGGUAGCGAAAUUCCUUGUCGGGUAAGUUCCGACCCGCACGAAAGGCGUAACGAUCUGGGCGCUGUCUCGGAGAGAGGCUCGGCGAAAUAGAAUUGUCUGUGAAGAUGCGGACUACGUGCACCCGGACAGAAAGACCCUAUGAAGCUUUACUGUAGCUUGGUAUUGUGCCCGGGCUCUGAAUGCGCAGGAUAGGUGGAAGGCUUUGAUCCAUUGCUUGUGGGUGAUGGUGAGCCAACGGUGAGAUACCACUCUUUCAGAGCUAGGGUUCUAACGGUCACCCGUUAUCCGGGGACCGGACAGUAUCAGGUGGGCAGUUUGACUGGGGCGGUCGCCUCCUAAAAGGUAACGGAGGCGCGCAAAGGUUCCCCCAGGCUGGUUGGAAAUCAGCCGACGAGUGUAAAGGCAGAAGGGAGCUUGACUGUGAGACCUACAAGUCGAACAGGGACGAAAGUCGGCCUUAGUGAUCCGACGGUUCUGAGUGGAAGGGCCGUCGCUCAACGGAUAAAAGUUACUCUAAGGAUAACAGGCUGAUCUCCCCCAAGAGUUCACAUCGACGGGGAGGUUUGGCACCUCGAUGUCGGCUCAUCGCAACCUGGGGCUGAAGUCGGUCCCAAGGGUUGGGCUGUUCGCCCAUUAAAGCGGUACGCGAGCUGGGUUCAGAACGUCGUGAGACAGUUCGGUCCAUAUCCGGUGCAUGCGCAGGAAUAUUGAGAGGAUUUCUCCCUAGUACGAGAGGACCGGGAGGAACGCACCUCUGGUGUGCCAGUUAUCGUGCCAACGGUAAACGCUGGGUAGCCAUGUGCGGAGUGGAUAACCGCUGAAAGCAUCUAAGUGGGAAGCCCACCUCAAGAUGAGUAUUCCCAUGGCGUUAGCCAGUAAGGUCACGGGCAGAACACCCGUUGAUAGGCUCUACGUGGAAGCCGGGUAACCGGUGAAGCGGAGGAGUACUAAUAGACCGAGGGCUUGACC